UACGUAGGGUCCGAGCGUUGUCCGGAAUUAUUGGGCGUAAAGGGCUCGUAGGCGGUUUGUCGCGUCGGGAGUGAAAACCUACAGCUUAACUGUGGGCUUGCUUUCGAUACGGGCAGACUUGAGGCAUGCAGGGGAGAACGGAAUUCCUGGUGUAGCGGUGAAAUGCGCAGAUAUCAGGAGGAACACCGGUGGCGAAGGCGGUUCUCUGGGCAUGUUCUGACGCUGAGGAGCGAAAGUGUGGGGGAGCGAACAGG
rnacentral:rRNA from 1 species